GCCUGGGUGGCUCAGUCAGUUAAGUGCUUGACUUCGGCUCAGGACAUGAUCUCAUGGUUCGUGGGUUCAAACCCCGCAUCAGGCU
rnacentral:tRNA from 1 species